UCUACACUUUCGUAGUGUUGCAGACUCCAACUUGACGCUAGAAGUUCUAAAAUGUCACAUAGCAUCGCACUGGAGCAGAACGUGUGCUUAAAACUACAUAUUUCAAAAUUCACUGCAGCUUAUCUCACAAAAGGAAGAGUGGGCAGUUCUACAUAAUGAAAUUCACUGCCAGAGGACACAGGGGCCUUGCAAAGGAAACAGUCAACUAUAGCAAUGGACAUGAACAAGACUCAGCCUUCCCUUUUCUCCUAACUGGUGCACCUGGAACAAAUCUUGCCAACUGGAGAACACUGGUACAUGCUCUGUUUUCUAUAUGGAAUUACUGAUAUUCACAAACAGGUAAGACUUAAGUUUCCAUUAACUUUUCAGAAGCAUAUAGCAAAACAAAAUGAAGUCAUAUUAUAAGCUCAAAGAAUUAAUAUAAAUUUGUAGUUAACAAAAUUUCCAAAUUCAGGGUUUUCAAAGAAAGUAUUAGAAAUAGACAAACAAUAUACCUUAAUACUAGAGAAAGAAAAAGACUAUGGGGCAAAAACCACAUUAAUGUAUUCUACAUAUGAAUAUAUACACCCUACCAAAUAAAAUAUAUUGAUAAUUGAUAUAAUGGCUAUGC